GCCUGGGUGGCUCAGUUGGUUGAGCGUCCGACUUCGGCUCAGAUCAUGAUCUCACAGCUCGUGGGUUCAAGUCCUGCGUCGGGCU
rfam:Felis catus isolate Cinnamon breed Abyssinian chromosome C2, whole genome shotgun sequence.